GACGAACGCUGGCGGCGUGCCUAAUACAUGCAAGUUGAGCGCUGAAGGUUGGUACUUGUACCGACUGGAUGAGCAGCGAACGGGUGAGUAACGCGUGGGGAAUCUGCCUUUGAGCGGGGGACAACAUUUGGAAACGAAUGCUAAUACCGCAUAAAAACUUUAAACACAAGUUUUAAGUUUGAAAGAUGCAAUUGCAUCACUCAAAGAUGAUCCCGCGUUGUAUUAGCUAGUUGGUGAGGUAAAGGCGCACCAAGGCGAUGAUACAUAGCCGACCUGAGAGGGUGAUCGGCAACAUUGGGACUGAGACACGGCCCAAACUCCUACGGGAGGCAGCAGUAGGGAAUCUUAGGCAAUGGACGAAAGUCUGACCGAGCAACGCCGCGUGAGUGAAGAAGGUUUUCGGAUCGUAAAACUCUGUUGGUAGAGAAGAACGUUGGUGAGAGUGGAAAGCUCAUCAAGUGACGGUAACUACCCAGAAAGGGACGGCUAACUACGUG
rnacentral:rRNA from 1 species